rnacentral:rRNA from 1 species
UACGUAGGGUGCAAGCGUUGUCCGGAAUUAUUGGGCGUAAAGAGCUCGUAGGCGUCUGUCGCGUCGGCUGUGAAAUCCCGAGGCUCAACCUCGGGUCUGCAGUCGAUACGAGCAAACUAGAGUGUUGCAGGGGAGACUGGAAUUCCUGGUGUAGCGGUGAAAUGCGCAGAUAUCAGGAGGAACACCGGUGGCGAAGGCGGGUCUCUGGGCAACAACUGACGCUGAGGAGCGAAAGCCAGGGGAGCAAACGGG